rnacentral:snoRNA from 1 species
AUGAAUAUGAUGAUAAAAUGUCACUGAACAAGUCCACCGACUCUAUUUUUGAGAAAGUCAACUUCAAUAGGAUGUUCGCAUUUGCGAGGCAUUUGUCUGAUUCAUGC